rnacentral:rRNA from 1 species
AGUGAACGCUGGCGGUAGGCCUAACACAUGCAAGUCGAACGGCAGCACAGUAAGAGCUUGCUCUUACGGGUGGCGAGUGGCGGACGGGUGAGGAAUACAUCGGAAUCUACUUUUUCGGGGGGGAUAACGUAGGGAAACUUACGCUAAUACCGCAUACGACCUACGGGUGAAAGCAGGGGAUCUUCGGACCUUGCGCGAUUGAAUGAGCCGAUGUCGGAUUAGCUAGUUGGCGGGGUAAAGGCCCACCAAGGCGACGAUCCGUAGCUGGUCUGAGAGGAUGAUCAGCCACACUGGAACUGAGACACGGUCCAGACUCCUACGGGAGGCAGCAGUGGGGAAUAUUCGACAAUGGGCGCAAGCCUGAUCCAGCCAUACCGCGUGGGUGAAGAAGGCCUUCGGGUUGUAAAGCCCUUUUGUUGGGAAAGAAAAGCAGCAGGUUAAUACCCCGAUGUUCUGACGGUACCCAAAGAAUAAGCACCGGCUAACUUCGUG